GGACCGGUUGCUCAUCUACCUCCGACUCCACGACGAAUUCGCCGCUGGGAGAAGGCACUCCUUCGAUUUCGACAGCCAGCGUCUGCGAGGCGAUGUAGUCGGCGAAGGAUUUGAGCGCGGGAAGGACGAACUCCUGCUGUUCGAUCUCCACACGGAUUUUGUCCGUCACCUCGAAGCCCGAAUCCUUGCGGAUGUUCUGGAUACGGUUGAU
rnacentral:misc_RNA from 1 species